rnacentral:rRNA from 1 species
GAUGAACGCUGGCGGCGUGCCUAAUACAUGCCAGUCGAGCGAACAGACGAGGAGCUUGCUCCUCUGACGUUAGCGGCGGACGGGUGAGUAACACGUGGAUAACCUACCUAUAAGACUGGGAUAACUUCGGGAAACCGGAGCUAAUACCGGAUAAUAUAUUGAACCGCAUGGUUCAAUAGUGAAAGACGGUUUUGCUGUCACUUAUAGAUGGAUCCGCGCCGCAUUAGCUAGUUGGUAAGGUAACGGCUUACCAAGGCAACGAUGCGUAGCCGACCUGAGAGGGUGAUCGGCCACACUGGAACUGAGACACGGUCCAGACUCCUACGGGAGGCAGCAGUAGGGAAUCUUCCGCAAUGGGCGAAAGCCUGACGGAGCAACGCCGCGUGAGUGAUGAAGGUCUUCGGAUCGUAAAACUCUGUUAUUAGGGAAGAACAAAUGUGUAAGUAACUAUGCACGUCUUGAUGGUACCUAAUCAGAAAGCCACGGCUAACUACGUG